ensembl:lncRNA
CCACAAGAAGGUUAUGGAAGCUGUGCUCCUGACCCAUUUGUUCUUCCAUUACGCUGUAAUGUUUGGAAAAAUACACAGCAGGAUUUAUGGAAAGUGCUUCAAAGCCUAAUUUUCCUCUCCAAAUCUCCAGCAGGUAUCUCUCCGAGCUCCGCUUCACAUGAGGAGUACGUGCAGCUGACCUCCUGAACUGGGCAUGGAAGAAGCAGAGAAAGCCAGUAAGGAAAAAGAAUUAGUUAGGUAUUGUGGAGUAGAGAACAUCAUCCUAAGCAUGUCAGCUGAUGGAAACCAAAUAGGAGACAGCAGAACUCAGGCAUUCGAAGGGUCUGCUCUGAAACAAAGGAAGACAUCUUAGCAUCCCUCUCUACCUGUCUUCAUAAAUUAUGUGUGCUAAUGACACGCUAUUAGAAUUACGGAUCUCGUUUGUAACAGAUCAUGUAUAGAACAAAUUGCCUCUUAUCCUGAUUCCAAACUGGGCACCGACAGCUCACCUUGUAGCGGUUGUUACUGCAGGGCCAUCUAAAGACCAAGUUAUUCAGGCUCACAAGCACAUGCAUAUCUGGGAUUGACAUCUUCAUUGCAAAGAUGGAACUAAAAUUCAGAGGAAAAAGAUGCAGAUAUUUAAUUUCCAACAGUAGUGUCCAAAUCAGGAGAGGAACUGUGGUCUUUAGUGAGUGUGACAAGCAUUAUCCACUCUUUAAGUAACAUGUUGGCUCAGUAUUUUCACUUUGUCACACUUUGUAACAGCUGGAUUUCUAACUGAGGCAGUGCAUCAUCCCAUCAUGGCCUGACCUGAUGUCUCCACCUCACAGCAGAAUAAUUCUAUACAAAAGAGUUAUUUUGCAGAUUCUGUUCACUCUUUAAUUUUAGUGCAAGAUCUCCUGCCCUGUUUUGCCAAUUGACCAUGAAAGCCACAUGUUAUGAAUUUCAUUUCCUGACUGGAUAAAAAUGUGACAGAUUGAGGAUGACAUAUGCUCACAUCAGCUCUUCAGAGUGGAAAAUAAAAUGUCUGCUUACAAACUUUUGGAACAGGAAAAGGGUUAGGCUUGAUUUGGAAGCUAAGCAAACCCUUAUCUGUUCUUCUGAUUCAGAACUAGAGGCCAGGUUUGCCAGGGCUGUGGGAGCUCUCUGUGUUCCAACAGGUCAUUAAAGUUGAACUGCCUUAUUUUUCUGCUUAAAAAGGAAAGGGUUGUGAACAUGUUUGACAGUUAAGGACAUUUGUUCAGCAUCUUCUUCAUUUUACAAAGUCCCACGUCCUCACUGCACUUUUCCCUGUUCCCAUCACAGAAUCUCUCUCUGUUGUGCUCAGGCCUUGGAAUCACCCAAGGUCACUACUGCAAAACACAGCGUGCCCUGAGGACCUCCCCAGCCUUUCUGCACAGGUGACCUAACAGGAAAGCUAAGUGGAACUUUGGGUUGGUGGUGAUAUGCAGGCCAACCCAAAGACAACUGAAUCUGACUCAUUUCCUUUAUCAUUACCUUUUUAACCCUUUAAAGAUCAGCCUUUGUAACCAAUAAAAUUGAUCAUGCAUGCCUUCACUGUUCAGACUUGCUGUGUAUUCAGCAGCUGUUUUCUAACUUACAGUAUCUCUUGUGUUUUGUCCCUGAAUUCCAUGCAGUCUGUGACUCCCAUAUGGACAAACUUGUCUGUCCUUGAUAUGAAAUUUGGUCUCAGCUUUGGCAGUUUGCAAGUCUACACUACAGCAUAUCUUUAAAAAGGAAAACCAGCAGCUGCAACUAACCAGAACGUUCUGCAUCACCUUCAACUACUGUAGCCCUUUUGAUACUGAUAGCAGAGAGUUUUUUAAUAACUAUCUCUAUUUACCCGCAUGUUCUUUGAGGUGUGAGCUGGCUCAUGAUGAUGACAGUAUCCACUGAGGACCAGAAAGCUAUAAACAGUACUAUAAACUCAAAGAUGUGUGUAUAGCACCAGAGGUAAAGCAUUCCCAUACUGACGUGGAAUCUAAUUCCAGCCAAUGAUUUGUAACAAUCAUGAACUUAACCUGGAAGGAGACAGGAAAGCAGUCAUGUGAGGUAAAUGGGCUUUGUCUCCCCAGAGCCUUCUCUCUUGAAAUGAUUUCCUCAUUAAUGCACUCCUUCCUAAAUUCUACUUUAGCUCUCAUUUGCAUUUUUGAGUUCUUAAGGCUGUUUUCAGAUGUACUGUAUACACGCCAAAGGCCAUGUAAAUGCAGGCUCUACUCUGAGCUCAGUGAACUUCAGCCAAUUUAUUCUAGUUGAGUAACUGUCCAGGUGAAUCCAGAUUUCUUUACUCAUUUUUCAGCAGAAUAAACUGUAAUCAGCCUCUCUGUAAAUAUGCAUCUUAUGUACCCAAUAUUAACUAGAUCUAAUCAGCUUAAUUAUGUGGUUAAUAAUAAUUCAAGUUCAUGCAGCAUAAUCUUCUAUUUAAAGUGGGUACAAUAUUUUACAGUAUCUGAAAAAUGGCUUGGCUUAAUAAACAGAUGGAAGAAAAAUAUCUUUAAAAAGAGAAUUAAAGGACAACUCUUGAAUGCAGAUUUCAGCAUUACCCAAAGAACAUUCGCACACAAAUCCUUCUUCCAGAGAAGUGCUGCACAACAGGCGUUCACCAACAAAAGGAUUUCCAAUACUAUUUGAAAUCCUGUUCUGGCUUCUACAGUGCAAAUCUGUCUCCUCAUCUGCAGGAGAGCUCAAAAACAGUACAGUUGUGUUCUACUGUGCAAGUGCCAACCCUACGGCAGUGCCAAUUCUGUACUGUAUAAACCGUUUUGUAUCUCUAUUUCUACCUGCUAUCUCUUUUGCCUCACUGGUACAAACAAAUGUUGUUUUGGUGCAAGGCAGUGCAGAAUGAGUCUGGAUGCAUUGGCAUACUUCUGAGUUCACUUCCUGAACCGUAUUAAUAUCUAAUAAUUAAAAACCGUUUUCAAAUACUUAAAAUUCAUGUUUCACUAAAGAUGGUUAUACCCAACACCCAUAUUUUGACCACUUUUGGUUUAUAAUUAUCCUUUUCUAAUUCUUCCAUAUUUACUUAUUGUAACUCUAUAUAUCAUAUACAGCAUUUAAUGCUAUAUUUUAAACUGCAGACAGCAAAUCAAAAUGCUUCAGCUCUGUUUUUCAUGGUUCAGACAUGUCUGAAAUAUAAUGAGAGCAGGGAUUUGUCUGCCCUGAUUUAAUUACUACAAUCCAGAUAACUCUGUCAAUCAAUUUUUCUCCUUGUGACUCCUGGCAGGGUGAAAAAUGCCUUCAUUAUAAGGACUGAUCAUUAGUGGAUGUGAAGUUGAGAAGAUGAUGAAGAUGAGUUGUUGGGUCUGGCAGAGAAUUGACCCAUCAGUGUCAUUAAGUGAACUGCGGCAAGCCCAGCAAUUCCCAUGGGGCAAAUCAUUGAAUUCCUCAGGAGCAAAGGUCUGUGUCUGUCUAUACCAAAGCACUUUGAAAUGUACACACAUGCAGUUUGCAGUAGUCUGAUGGAUAACUAAACAAUUACACAGGCAGUAACUGAUUUGUCCUUCUCUUUUCAUGAAAGAAACAACCUUUAAGGUACUGUGUUUUAGUUUCCUUUCUAUGUGACGGUUUAAAUAACGUUUAUAUCCACUGCCCUUUCAACUCUGUAUUACCAAAGUUAGCUCCAAGCUGCAUCCACCUCCCAACACACAAAAGCUCUGUAUUAAAAAUGUUAAUUGCAAUUCUGAGUUCUUUUCCUUCUAAAUACUGAACGACAAGACCGGCUCUCUGAGCUCUAAGGAAUUUGUAAUCAAUGUUUUUCACAUAGCUGUAAAAACACCUUCCUGUAGAGCAGCCUCAGUGACAAGCAACUGAAUGAAAAACGAGCACUGUAUGUUCAAUGUUUUUUUCUAAACUAUGCUUUAAUUGCAAACGGUAAUUUUACGUAAUUGACCUAUUAAUCAUAAAAUAAAAUUU